AGAGUUUGAUCAUGGCUCAGAACGUACGCUGGCGGCACGCCUAACACAUGCAAGUCGAACGAAGUAGCAAUACUUAGUGGCAGACGGGUGAGUAACAUGUGGGUAUCUGCCCUUUGGCCUGGAAUAACACGAGGAAACUUGUGCUAAUACCGGAUAAGUCUUUACGGAGAAAGCUUUAUGCACCAUUGGAUGAGCCCGCACUUGAUUAGUUUGUUGGUGGGGUAAUGGCCUACCAAGACUGUGAUCAAUAGCUGAUUUGAGAGGAUGAUCAGCCACAUUGGGACUGAGACACGGCCCAAACUCCUACGGGAGGCAGCAGUGGGGAAUCUUGCACAAUGGAGGAAACUCUGAUGCAGCGAUGCCGCGUGAGUGAAGAAGGCCCUUGGGUUGUAAAGCUCUUUCGUCGGGGAAGAAAAUGACUGUACCCGAAUAAGAAGGUCCGGCUAACUUCGUGCCAGCAGCCGCGGUAAUACGAAGGGACCUAGCGUAGUUCGGAAUUACUGGGCUUAAAGAGUUCGUAGGUGGUUGAAAAAGUUAGUGGUGAAAUCCCAGAGCUUAACUCUGGAACUGCCAUUAAAACUUUUCAGCUAGAGUAUGAUAGAGGAAAGCAGAAUUUCUAGUGUAGAGGUGAAAUUCGUAGAUAUUAGAAAGAAUACCAAUUGCGAAGGCAGCUUUCUGGAUCAUUACUGACACUGAGGAACGAAAGCAUGGGUAGCGAAGAGGAUUAGAUACCCUCGUAGUCCAUGCCGUAAACGAUGUGUGUUAGACGUUGGAAAUUUAUUUUCAGUGUCGCAGCGAAAGCGAUAAACACACCGCCUGGGGAGUACGACCGCAAGGUUAAAACUCAAAUGAAUUGACGGGGACCCGCACAAGCAGUGGAGCAUGUGGUUUAAUUCGAAGAUACGCGCAGAACCUUACCAACACUUGACAUGUUCGUCGCGACUCUAAGAGAUUAGAGUUUUCGGUUCGGCCGGACGAAACACAGGUGCUGCAUGGCUGUCGUCAGCUCGUGUCGUGAGAUGUUGGGUUAAGUCCCGCAACGAGCGCAACCCUCACUUUUAGUUGCCAUCAUUAAGUUGGGCACUCUGAAAGAACUGCCAGUGAUAAGCUGGAGGAAGGUGGGGAUGACGUCAAGUCCUCAUGGCCCUUACGUGUUGGGCUACACACGUGCUACAAUGGUAUCUACAACAGGAAGCAAGACUGCGAGGUCAAGCAAAUCCUUAAAAGAUACCUCAGUUCGGAUUGCACUCUGCAACUCGAGUGCAUGAAGCUGGAAUUACUAGUAAUCGUGGAUCAGCGUGCCACGGUGAAUGCGUUCCCGGGUCUUGUACACACCGCCCGUCACACCAUGGGAGUUGGUUCUACCUUAAGGCAAGGUUUCAAACCCUUGACCACGGUAUAGUCAGCGACUGGGGUGAAGUCGUAACAAGGUAACC
rnacentral:rRNA from 1 species